UACGUAGGGUGCGAGCGUUAAUCGGAAUUACUGGGCGUAAAGCGUGCGCAGGCGGUUUUGUAAGCCAGAUGUGAAAUCCCCGGGCUUAACCUGGGAAUGGCAUUUGGGACUGCAAGGCUGGAGUUUGGCAGAGGAGACUGGAAUUCCUGGUGUAGCAGUGAAAUGCGUAGAUAUCGGAAGGAACACCGGUGGCGAAAGCGGCGCGCUGGACCUCUUCUGACGCUGAGGCGCGAAAGCCAGGGGAGCGAACGGG
rnacentral:rRNA from 1 species